AUACGUAGGGGGCGAGCGUUGUCCGGAAUGAUUGGGCGUAAAGGGCGCGUAGGCGGCCCGGUACGUCUGGAGUGAAAGUCCUGCUUUUAAGGUGGGAAUUGCUUUGGAUACUGUCGGGCUUGAGUGCAGGAGAGGUAAGUGGAAUUCCCAGUGUAGCGGUGAAAUGCGUAGAGAUUGGGGGGAACACCAGUGGCGAAGGCGACUUACUGGGCUGUAACUGACGCUGAGGCGCGAAAGUGUGGGGAGCAAACAGGAUUAGAUACCCGGGUAGUCCACGCCGUAAACGAUGAAUACUAGGUGUUGGGAGACAAUAGUUUCUCGGUGCUGCAGCAAACGCAAUAAGUAUUCCACCUGGGGAGUACGUUCGCAAGAAUGAAACUUAAAGGAAUUGGCGGGG
rnacentral:rRNA from 1 species